rnacentral:lncRNA from 1 species
AAAAUUUUUGUUGUCCUCCUUCCACCAUGCACUUUUCCAUCCAAACACAUUUUUUUUUUUUUACUGUUUCUUCCACCUGAAUGUGUUUCCCUUUAACCAACACCUAGUUGAAAUGCCUACUAUAUACUCCAAGUCAGAGUAAUGUCUUUAUCUUCUGAUCUGUUUCAACCCACCUCUGGUAUCAACAUCAUCAUCAUGAUCAUUGUCACUAUCAGUACUAUCACUACCAUCAUCAUCAACAUUAUCUUCAUCCACUACCAUCACCACCAUCAUCAUCACCAUCCUCAUCCAUUACUAUCACCACCAUCAUUAUCAGCAUCAUCUUCAUAGUACUACCAUCACCACCAUUAUUAUCAACAUCAUCCCCAUCCACUACCAUCACCGGCAUCAUUAUCACCAUCGUUCUCCUCCACCACCAUCAUCAUCACCAUCAUCCUCCUCCACUAGCAUCACCACCAUCAUCAUCACCAUCAUCCGCAUCCGCUACCAUCACCACCAUCAUCAUCACCGUCAUCCUCCUCCACUACCAUCACCACCAUCAUCAUCAUCCUCAUCCACUAACAUCACCACCGUCAUUAGCAACAUCAUCUUCCUCCACUACCAACACCACCAUCAUCACCAUCAUCCGUCUCCACUAGCAUCACCGCCAUCAUCAUCAACAUCAUCCUACUCCACUAGAAUCACCAUCCCCAUCCACUACCAUCACCACUAUCAUUAUCAACAUCCUCCUUCACUACCAUCACCACCAUCAUCAUCACCAUCAUCCUCCUCCACUACCAUCACCACCAUCAUCAUCAUCCUCAUCCACUAACAUCACCACCAUCAUUAGCAACAUCAUCUUCCUCCACUGCCAUCACCACCAUCAUCAUCGUCAUCAUCCUCCACUACCAUCACCACCAUCAUCCUCCUCCACUACCAUCACCACCAUCAUCCUCAUCCUCAUCCACUAACAUCACCACCAUCAUUAGCAACAUCAUCUUCCUCCGCUGCCAUCACCACCACCAUCAUCAUCAUCAUUCUCCACUACCAUCACCACCAUCAUCCUUAUUCAGCAAUUCUUUAGUGUUCACAGAGUGCCA